CCUACGGGUGGCAGCAGUGAGGCAUAUUGGUCAAUGGGCGCGAGCCUGAACCAGCCAAGUAGCGUGAAGGAUGAAUGACCUACGGGUUGUACACUUCUUUUCUAAAGGAAUAAAGUGAGGCACGUGUGCCUUUUUGUAUGUACUUUAUGAAUAAGGAUCGGCUAACUCCGUGCCAGCAGCCGCGGUAAUACGGAGGAUCCGAGCGUUAUCCGGAUUUAUUGGGUUUAACGGGAGCGGAGAUGGGUUGUUAAGUCAGUUGUGAAAGUUUGCGGCUCAACCGUAAAAUUGCAAUUGAUACUGGCAGUCUUGAGUACAGUUGAGGUAGGCGGAAUUCGUGGUGUAGCGGUGAAAUGCUUAGAUAUCACGAAGAACUCCGAUUGCGAAGGCAGCUUACUAAACUGCCACUGACAUUGAUGCUCGAAAGUGUGGGUAUCAAACAGGAUUAGAUACCCUUGUAGUC
rnacentral:rRNA from 1 species